rnacentral:rRNA from 1 species
AGCGAACGCUGGCGGCAGGCCUAACACAUGCAAGUCGAACGAAGUCUUCGGACUUAGUGGCGGACGGGUGAGUAACACGUGGGAACGUGCCUUUAGGUUCGGAAUAACUCAGGGAAACUUGUGCUAAUACCGAAUGUGCCCUUCGGGGGAAAGAUUUAUCGCCUUUAGAGUGGCCCGCGUCUGAUUAGCUAGUUGGUGAGGUAAAGGCUCACCAAGGCGACGAUCAGUAGCUGGUCUGAGAGGAUGAUCAGCCACAUUGGGACUGAGACACGGCCCCAACUCCUACGGGAGGCAGCAGUGGGGAAUCUUGCGCAAUGGCGAAAGCCUGACGCAGCCAUGCCGCGUGAAUGAUGAAGGUCUUAGGAUUGUAAAAUUCUUUCACCGGGGACGAUAAUGACGGUACCCGGAGAAGAAGCCCCGGCUAACUUCGUGCCAGCCGCCGCCGUAAGAC